GACGAACGCUGGCGGCGUGCUUAACACAUGCAAGUCGAGCGGUAAGGCCCCUUCGGGGGUACACGAGCGGCGAACGGGUGAGUAACACGUGGGUGACCUGCCCUCAGCUCUGGGAUAAGCCUGGGAAACCGGGUCUAAUACCGGAUAUGACUCCAUGACGCAUGUUGUGGGAUGGAAAGCCUUGUGCGGCUGAGGAUGGGCCCGCGGCCUAUCAGCUUGUUGGUGGGGUGANGGCCUACCAAGGCGACGACGGGUAGCCGGCCUGAGAGGGCGACCGGCCACACUGGGACUGAGACACGGCCCAGACUCCUACGGGAGGCAGCAGUGGGGAAUCUUGCGCAAUGGGCGAAAGCCUGACGCAGCGACGCCGCGUGAGGGAUGACGGCCU
rnacentral:rRNA from 1 species